rnacentral:lncRNA from 1 species
AGUGUUUUUCAUAAGGUUUUGGGGUGUGUAGCAAAUUGGCUACACAGGGUGCUCCUGCCAGAAAACAGUGUAGCAAGGCCCAAAAAAUUUUCUGCCAAAAUUUUGGCUGCGCCAAAAUUUUGGCAAGUCCUUUUUUUAUUAUAAUUACAAGCAAUGCCUUUAUAAGUAAAUAAGGAGACCAUCGUUGUCAUCCACUCUGUGGACAAUCCCUCUCAUGUCUCUCCCUCCCAAUCCC